CUUACUCAAGCAGCAGUAGUAGGGGAGAGCUGAGCUCACCACUCAAACUUGGUUGAAGCCUACCAGCCUCCUAUCGUAAGCAAGCCAACUUGCUGGGUCGAAGAGCUGAGCUUACUCAUCAAGGGGCUCAUGAAGGGGCCCAACGAAUAGUCCUUACUUAAAUAAGCAAGCGAAUUCUACUGAACUGAGCUACUUGAGGUGUUACUUUUCUUUUAGUGUUGGUAGAAAGUCCGG
rnacentral:lncRNA from 1 species